UGACCGCUGGCGGCGUGCCUACUACAUGCAAGUCGAGCGACCAGAUGAGGAGCUUGCUCCUCUGACGUUAGCGGCGGACGGGUGAGUAACACGUGGAUAACCUACCUAUAAGACUGGGAUAACUUCGGGAAACCGGAGCUAAUACCGGAUAAUAUAUUGAACCGCAUGGUUCAAUAGUGAAAGACGGUUUUGCUGUCACUUAUAGAUGGAUCCGCGCCGCAUUAGCUAGUUGGUAAGGUAACGGCUUACCAAGGCAACAAUGCGUAGCCGACCUGAGAGGGUGAUCGGCCACACUGGAACUGAGACACGGUCCAGACUCCUACGGGAGGCAGCAGUAGGGAAUCUUCCGCAAUGGGCGAAAGCCUGACGGAGCAACGCCGCGUGAGUGAUGAAGGUCUUCGGAUCGUAAAACUCUGUUAUUAGGGAAGAACAAAUGUGUAAGUAACUAUGCACGUCUUGACGGUACCUAAUCAGAAAGCCACGGCUAACUACGUG
rnacentral:rRNA from 1 species